UCUUAUGUCUCAGUACCAACACCAAGCCA
rnacentral:piRNA from 1 species